rnacentral:lncRNA from 1 species
CAUACUCCUCUGAUACGUCUAAAGAUGGGAAACAAUCAAUAUAAUGUAAAAUACGUUUCUAUUGCUAAAUUUCCUACCUCUACUAGUUUAAUUUCUUUUUAUCUCACAACUUAAUAUGUUUUCCAUCUUUUGCCUUAUUUUUCCGGUUAUUAGCAAACUCAUUACUAUAUAUUGAAUUUAUGGUUGCAGUCAGGUAAUAAAAUUCAUCCUUAUUUAAACCCCUCUCUGUUGCCAUAUUUGACUGUUACAUAUUUUUAUUAAGUCUCACAAGAGUAUUGGUGCACCCAUCUCUAUAAAAAUGUACCAAACAAAGAUUUAUUCAGCUUACACGGUCGAAUGCUUUCUGAUAGUCAACAAAGCGUAUUAUCAUAGAUACUUGAAUUUCUUUCGAGUUUUCAAUGAGUUGUCUCAAAUUCAGUAUUAUUUGCUAAAACGUGUACUUUUUUCCUUUACAAACACCGUUUAUCCUACAGUUUGAUGAUAUAGAUCUGUUGGUGGCUCCUUUUUCGAGUGAAAUAAAAAUUGAGAUAUACAAGUGGUUACUCAUCAGAUGGCCAUUCUCCCGAAUUCCAAACAGCAACACAAACAGAAUGGAUCAUAAUAUGUAAUCCUUUGUCAUCUUUUAACUGCAGUAUUUCACAGUCAAUCACACUACGUGAUUAUUUCUUUUUAUGUUUCACAAUUAUUAUUAUGUUCAUCAACAUUGUUGUUACGCUCAUGAUCAUAGUUGUAUAAAAAUUAUUUUUGAAUAAAUUUAUUUAAAUACAA